UUUUGUGGUGAGAAAAAUUAUAUCAUUUUAUAAUUUAUAUUAUAAAUUCUGAGAUAUUAUUACAAAAAUUAUAUAUAUAUAUACACUUUUAGAAAACAAACCCAUGUGGGUGGGUCCCCCUUUUGUCCAUACCAUCAUUUUCCCUUCCUUUCCCUCUUUUCUAAUUUUGAUUCCCCUCGUUUCCUUUCCUUUUCAUUUCUUGUGGCAGUCGUCUCUUUCUCACCAUGGAUGCUCAACCUUUGAGCUUUGAGUGGAAGUCCUUAGAGUGAGAUUUUAUAAAAGUUUUAUAAAUGAAAGUCGGAGAGCUUGUCGUGAUCUUCGCAAUGGUAGUCUCGAAUUCAUGAUCAGGCAAGUUUUGCCUUCCAGAUUUGUUCUUCUUCAUUAUUUGAGAUUUGGUGAUUCGAUGAGCAUAUCUUCAAUAGCAUUAUAGAAAUUUAUUCACAACCAAGGCAUCUUAAGGCCUGCUCUUAAGGACAUGUGAUGAAGAAGCAGAAAGAGAUUACAAAUUUUAAGAUCUUACAAUUUGCAAUUGACAAUUUGUCAUUUCAGUAAAUCAUAUGUAAACAUCAAUUAGCAUA